rnacentral:tRNA from 1 species
GUGCCGUAUUUAAGCUAAAAAUGACAUUUUGGUAUCCUGACUUUUAAUCAGGUUGUCGGGGGUUCGAAUCCCCCGUGCUUCAGUACA